rnacentral:rRNA from 1 species
UACGUAGGGUGCGAGCGUUAAUCGGAAUUACUGGGCGUAAAGAGCGCGCAGGCGGUCAGAUAAGUCGAAUGUGAAAGCCCCCGGCUCAACUGGGGAGGGUCAUUCGAUACUGUUCGACUCGAAGGCAGGAGAGGGAAGUGGAAUUCCCGGUGUAGUGGUGAAAUGCGUAGAUAUCGGGAGGAACACCAGUGGCGAAGGCGACUUCCUGGCCUGUUCUUGACGCUGAGGCGCGAAAGCUAGGGGAGCAAACGGG